ACAGUGAUAGACAGAAUAUCAACAAAAACAUCCAGAAAACUGCAUUUUAUAACAGUUAUGAAUUGAUUUGCAUUUGUCACGGAAAAUAAGUAUUUGAACCCGUAGCAAAACAUGACUUAGUACUUGGUGGAAUAACCCUUGUUGGCAAGCACAGACGUCAGACUCUUCUUGUAGUUGGUCACCAGGUUUACACACAUCUCAGGAGGGAUUUUGAUCCACUCCUCUUUGCAGAUCCUCUCCAAAUCCUUAAGGUUGCGUUUUCAAUGGGAGGGAAUGAGGGGAUGAGGUUCAAGCCCAAUAUUCCACGUUACAUGGCCCCAUCCAUAGUCCCCUCGAUGCAGUGGAGUCGUCCUGUACCCUUGGCAGAGAAACAGCCCCAAAGCAUAAUGUUUCCACCUCCAUGCUUGACGGUGGGGAUGGUGUUCUUGGGGUCAUAUUCAGCAUUCUUCCCCCUCCAAACGCGGCAAGUCGAGUUGAUGCCAAAGAGCUUGAUUUUGGUCUGACCACAUCCUGUCUCCCAAUCCUCCUUAGAAUCAUUCAAGUGUUCAUUGGCAAACUUCAGACGGCCCUGUACAUGUGCUUCCUUGAGCAGGGGGACCUUGCGAGUGCUGCAGUACUUCAAACCAUUACGGCGUAGUGUGUUGCCAAUGGUUUUCUUGGUGACUGUGGUCCCAGCUGCCUUGAGAUCAUUCACAAGCUCCCCCUGUGUAGUUCUGGGGUUAUUCUGCACCUUUCGGAUGAUCACCAAUACCGCACGAGGGGAUAUCUUGCAUGGAGCCCCAGACCUAGAGCGAUUGACAGUUGUUUGGUGUUGCUUCCAUUAACUAAUAAUCGCACCAAUAGUUGUCUGCUUCUCACCAAGCUGCUUGCCGAUGGUUUUGUAACCCAUUCCAGCCUUGUGCAGGUCAACAAUCUUAUCUCUGACGUCCUUGGUCAACUCUUUGGUCUUGCCCAUGGUGGUGAGGUUGAAGGUGUGAAGUAUGAUUCUUUGGACAGGUUUCUUUUAUUCACGUCACCAGUUGAGAUCAGGUGUACCUUGUUAGGCCUAAUGAGGACUAAUCUGUGUGCUUCUUGGGCACAUAACUGGUCAUUGGGAGCCAGAAUUCUUCCUGUUUGCUUGGGGGUUCAAAUACUUAUUUUCUGCAUCAAAUGCAAAUCAAUUCAUAACUGUUAUAAAAUGCAGUUUUCUGGAUGUUUUUGUUGAUAUUCUAUUUCUCACUGUUAAAAUAGACCUACCAUUACAAUUAUAGAUCACACAUUUCUUUGCAAGUGGCCAAACUUGCGAAAUCGUUAGGGGGUCAAAUACUUAUUUUCCCCACUGUACAUAAUGUCUCACUCAUAUAACACACACACACACACACACACACACACACACACACACACACACACACGGCAGGGCAGGCUUGCAGACUAACCUCUGCAAAUACAAAAAAAAUUCUGCCAGCCAUCUUUAUCACAAAACAGGUUUAAUUUAAUAUCUCUUUAUUUUUUUUAAAAUAAUUAAACAUUUGUAUUUUUCCAACCCUUUUUUUUCUCGUCUGUUCUCAGAUCAGAUGUGGGCCUUUCUAUAGCAGAGUCUCAACGCAGGAAACAGGAAGUAUGAUCUGAUCAGGGUGCCCAGUCCUCCUCCGCCGCCGCCCUCUCUUCCCCUCCCUAACGCUGCAACUAAACAGAACUAAUAAUAGUCUAAAGGAACGUCAUCCCAAAUGAAAAAUAAAAACCAAAGAAAGGAAGAGAAGAGAAGAGGG
rnacentral:lncRNA from 1 species